UGAGGCCUACGGGGGGCAGCAGUGGGGGAUAUUGCACAAUGGGGGGAACCCUGAUGCAGCGACGCCGCGUGGGUGAAGGAGCGUUUCGGCGCGUAAAGCCCUAUCGGCAGGGAAGAAGGAGGACGGUACCUGACUAAGAAGCCCCGGCUAACUACGUGCCAGCAGCCGCGGUAAUACGUAGGGGGCAAGCGUUAUCCGGAUUUACUGGGUGUAAAGGGAGCGUAGACGGCUGCGCAAGUCUGAAGUGAAAGCCCGGGGCUCAACCCCGGGACUGCUUU
rnacentral:rRNA from 1 species